AGGUUUAGCACCCUGCCUGCAGAGUCUCUCUCUCUCUCCUGUCUUUAUCGCUCUCUCUCUCAUCUCUCCCUCCAUCUCCCUCUCCCUCUCUUUCUCUCUCUGUCUACAUUGAGCUCCCUGGUUGCGCUCACUCACAUACACAUAGUGUCUGUCUGUCUCAGACUGCUGCGUGGUCUGCGCUGGAGAUCCACUCCCACUCUGUGCUGUUGCCUGGCUGUAUCUGAGUGUCUGUCUGUCUGCAUCACUGCUGCUGUGACUGUCUUUGAGCUUCGUUAGCUGCUGUUAGCUGCUGUCACCCGGGAGAGGGGGCCUGUCAUCCGUGUGUGUUCCGUCUGUCUUCAGCCUCCCUACAAGUAUGUUCCGGAACCCAUGGAUCACUAAUUAUCUCAGCCAUGUCAAAUACGGUUUCGAUGGGCAAGGCUUUGGAACUGAAGCUCCAGUCAAACUCUGCACUUCAACCUCACUGCCAACCGAAGCUCUAAGGUGCGGGAAACAAUUUUAUGUGCACUUCUCAUGUGUCAUGCUCUACUCACGUUUAUCAACUUUCAAAGCAACAUAACUUCCCCAUGUUUUAAGCUCAGAGUCUGUACUUUUCUAAACUGUAAAAAAAAAAAAAACUGAAAUGCAGCCUAGAUAUGGUCGUCUGGGCCCUGAUAAGAAAUUGUGCACUGUAGGGAAUAGGGUGCCAUUUGAGACGCGACUAUUGUAUCUGCCAUAUCAUCAGGAAAAGGGGUAGAUAAGGAUAAUGGUAGGUUCUUCAGACUGGUUUAAGACUCGUCUUUCUUGCCUCGUAAGCAUUAAAAGCUGGACAUGCUUGGAGCAGCUUAUCCUAAGAUGCUUUGUUCAAAUGUAAGAACAGAAGAACAGUAAUUCCUCUAUUAGGAUUGCUUUGUUUGCCAUAUCCAGUAGUCUCUUUCUAUCCUGAUGGAAUUAACAUACUCCUGUAACUGAAGCUCCU
rnacentral:lncRNA from 8 species